CGAGCUCGUCAGGGACGCCAUCACGCCGGCCAUCGUCAAGGUCGCCGAGCAGUCGGAUUCUUGCGUCGCCGACGCAGCAGUGGAUUUGGAAAAAAAUGCACCGCUGAUUGGCGUAGUCGGGCCCGGCUCGAGUUCCGUCGCGCUUCAGGUACAAAAUUUGCUGCAGCUGUUUUCGAUUCCACAGAUCGGCUACUCGUGCACCUCGAGGGACCUGAGCGACAAGAGCAGAUACUCGACUUUCUUGAGGGUCGUGCCGUCCGACUAUUAUCAGGCGCAGCUACUGGUCGAUCUCGUG